UUCAACGUUAUUUAAAACACACAUUGAACCACACCACAUAAAUUACACCCGCAGUCCACGACACAUUUUAUUUAACGUUGUUGAGAAUUGGAGUUGGGUCACAUGAAAUGCACACCCGAGUUUAAGGAAAUUAAUUUAAAUUGUGCGCCUAAAACAACUACGCACUUAACAAAGUUUGCGAGGGCCAUGGAAAAUUCAAUUAAUGGCACACCCCAAUUUUUAAAGAGUUAGUAUUAAUUACGUGAGGGCCAUGAGUUAUUUCAUGAAACUGGCACACCUCAAAUUUUUUUAUAAAAGCUAACUAGUUUUGUGAGGGCCAUGGGCUUAGGGGUUUUAUUUGGCAUGACACGCCUCAAAUUAUUUCAAAUGGUUUUAUUAUUCGAAGUUGUUAUAAUUGUAUUACAUGAAAUGCACCCCGAAUUGAGAUUCGCGUAUCGUAACCAUACAGGAACCGUACUCAUGACCACGAUAAAUUAUUAUUAUUGAUCGCGCCUAAAGAAAGCUACGAUGUUUAUAAAUUGAUUAAUUGUCUAAGUUGGCGAUUUGAGCUUCUCGUAAGUUCUGUCACCAUGGUUAUGAGAUGGAUUGACAAGAAAAAUUUUCAGUCACAUUAUCCGAAAUAAAGCAGUCAAGGUAAAGACAUUCUGUUAACUUUAUUAUCUAAUGUUCUUAUAAGAAUUCCUUAUUUUAGCAAAAUUUACAACAACAUAAAAAAAGAAACAAAAUAAAAAUAAAAAUAGAAGAGCUUCUUCAUCCUUACACUCUUUUCCAUUGAAUUCGUGUCCAGAACAACAAACGGAAAUUAUUAGGAAUUACAUACCAACAUUCAAAUCAAUCUUUCAACAUUCAUCUCUUGCUUCUCGGAUUAAACUCAUGAUGAGGUUGAAUCUAAAUUUGCAUAAGAUCUAAUUAAAUGCAAAUCACAUUAUUUCAGCACAAUCUCAACUUAAACAAAAUCAGAACCUAAGCUUAACAUGUAAAUAGCUGCAAUCGAUUCAAACACUUAAGCACACACAUAGCCAAAACAACUCAGAUUUCCAUUCAUAAUCAAUGAAGCAUCUUAGGCAAAGGUUUACAUACCUAAUCGUAGAGAAUCAACGGGCAUGGACCAAACAUAGGCCACAAUACCAUUGAUGGGGUUCCGAAGCAGCAGCAGAAACAGUGUGUUUCCAACCCACCUAAACCUUUUUUUUAGUUUCGAAUCUACCUUUUCAAAAUCUUCAAGCGUGCUUCUGAUUAUAUUUUUUUUUUGAUCGACUUCUUUUUUUUUUUUUGAUUUUUGAGUGAGGUUAGAGAUGGGUGGAUGUUUCUCUUUCUCUUAGGAUGAAGCUAAAAAUGGCUGCUAUCUUUAUAACCAUACAACUCUUUUCAACAGACAGUAGAAAAUGGAGAAAUUUGAGAGUUACUGGGUUCUCAUUAUUAAAGAGUUGUUGGGUUCUUUUUUGUGUGUGAUUUUUGGGAAACCAAAAAGAAGAAUAAUGGAGCUAGAGGGUGCCGUUUUUUUACAGGGGUCUGAUUAGAGAAGAACUCUCAUUUUCCUUUUUGCUCUAUGUGCGCCGCUGCUAUCUCUUUUUUUUUUUUUUGGAAAGAAGAUUUGAUCUCCUCCUUUAAGUCUAGGAGCUGCUAGGUCAUUUUAAUGUGGAGGGGGGUCCGAUUGGAUA
rnacentral:lncRNA from 1 species